GGCCCGGGAUAGCCCAGGGAAACCUGGAUUAAUACCGGAUGAGACGGGACCCGCGAUGGCGGGACCCGGGAAGGCGCUGCGGCGCCGCCGGGGGAUGAGUCUGCGUCCCAGUUAGCUAGACGGCGGGGUAACGGCCACCGUGGCGACGAUGGGUAGCCGGCCUGAGAGGGUGGACGGCCACAUUGGAACUGAGACACGGUCCAGACUCCUACGGGAGGCAGCAGCUAAGAAUCUUCCGCAAUGGGCGAAAGCCUGACGGAGCGACGCCCGCGUGAACGAAGAAGGCCGUGAGGUUGUAAAGUUCUUUUCGGGAGGGGGAACAACCGUGGCAGGGAAUGGCCGCGGGAUGACGUGAAUCCCGGAAUAAGCCCCGGCUAACUACGUGCCAGCAGCGGC
rnacentral:rRNA from 1 species